GAGAGAAGGCGCCCAGUCUCCUCUUCAGUUAGUUACCAUGUCCUUCUUGUUCUGCCCUUCAGAAGAUGCACUUGAAGGAGAACUGGUGAGAUCCAUCCAGAGGCAUCAGCAGACCCCGCGGAGGAAGGCGCGGCACAGUCCCCGGGAGCACCCAGCGGGCACCUCCAGAGAGCUCAGAGUGACCACAUCUGGCAGAAAAGGAAAAAAUGUAGUUAUUGAAUCCAGUCCAGUGUUUGUAUCUCUCACAUUAUCAACAAAAGUAGUCAAGAAAGGUUCUGGAGGCCCCAUGAACACAUGGAUAUAGAAGGAGCCACAUGAAGGUAAGGAGUCUGUUGUCUUUUUCAUGCUUUACCUGCAGACAAAUGUAUAUUUACCUAAACCUUUACCUGCUGUUUUAAGGAAACAUAAAAACAGGUUUGUCAGUGAUGGGGUUCUGAUUUGCUAGAAGGCACUACAUCCCCUAAUUUUGGUGAAUAACCCCAACAGAAUGUGCCAUCACUGCUGGAAGUGGCCUCCAGGAGCCCCUCUGGCCAAGCCCUGACAUGACCAAGGUAACUUCAUGAUGUGUUACCAUGCCUGUGCACCCUUGGCACAAAAGCACAGAGUUCCACAAGAGUUGGGCCUCUGUGUCCACUCUGAGUUCUACUCAGUUGCAUUUCCUGCUUAACGCAAUUGAGCAGGUCUGUGACAAGGGCCUCCUUCAUGGAACAGGGGUCUCGAGAGCUGCCAUUCAUCACCUGGACACUCAGGGCAACCAUGUGCAGUGACAGCCACGCUCUUCCCAAAGCUUCAAGUUGUAGCUAAAUUUCUUUUAUGUAAAAAAAAAAAGUACGUGUGAAACAUGCAUAACAUUAAGUUUAGCACUUCACCAUGUUUAAGUGUACAGCUAGUGGCGUGAAACACUCGCACACAGUUGUGUAAUCAUCACCACCAUCUAUUUCCAGAAAUUCUCUCAUCUUCCACAGCCUCACCUCUUACCCAUUUAUCAGCAGCUCUGCCCUGACCCCCGUCUGGCCCCUGGCUACCACCUUCUCCUUUCUGACUGUGCGGAUCUGACUGCUACCGGCACUUGGUAGGAGUAGAAUCAGUGUGUUUGUUCUUUGGCCACUGGGCUGUUUUCUGAUCAUGCACCUUCAAGGUUUAGCCAUGUUAUAGCAUGGCCCGGAACUUUGUCCCUCCCUUUAAAGCCCAAUAGUAUCUAGCUGCACAUCAAGGGACAUGAGUGUUGCUUCCAUAUUUUAGUUAUUGUGAAUAAUGCUGCUCUGAACUUGGGUAGAGACAAGCAGGUUUAAAUCUUUGCUUGUGAACCUUCUGUUAUAUACCCAUGAGGAGAAUUUACCCUGCCAUUUCCCAGUGGCCACAGCAUUUUACAUCCUCACCAACAGUGCCCAAAGGUUCUAAUUUCCC
rnacentral:lncRNA from 1 species